rnacentral:rRNA from 1 species
CUACGGGGCGCUGCAGUGGGGAAUAUUGGACAAUGGGCGCAAGCCUGAUCCAGCAAUGCCGCGUGAGUGAAGACGGCCUUAGGGUUGUAAAACUCUUUCGCUAGGGAAGAUAAUGACUGUACCUAGUAAAGAAGUCCCGGCUAACUCCGUGCCAGCAGCCGCGGUAAUACGGAGGGGACUAGCGUUGUUCGGAAUUACUGGGCGUAAAGAGUUCGUAGGCGGACUGACAAGUUAGAGGUGAAAUCCCAGGGCUCAACCCUGGAACUGCCUUUAAAACUGUCAGUCUAGAGACCGGAAGUGGUUAGGGGAAUACCUAGUGUAGAGGUGAAAUUCGUAGAUAUUAGGUGGAACACCAGUGGCGAAGGCGCCUAACUGGUCCGGUACUGACGCUGAGGAACGAAAGCGUGGGGAGCAAACAGGAUUAGAUACCCUCGUAGUC